UUGCUCUUCAACGAGGAAUUCCUAGUAAGCGCAUGUCAUCAGCAUGCGUUGAUUACGUCCCUGCCCUUUGUACACACCGCCCGUCGCUACUACCGAUUGAAUGGCUAAGUGAGGCUUUCGGACUGGCCUAGGAAGGGUGGCAACACUCAUCUCGGGCCGGAAAGUUAUCCAAACUUGGUCAUUUAGAGGAAGUAAAAGUCGUAACAAGGUUUCCGUUGGUGAACCAGCGGAAGGAUCAUUACAGAGUUCAUGCCCUUACGGGUAGAUCUCCCACCCUUGAAUAACAUACAUUGUUGCUUUGGCGGACGCUUCGGCAGCCGCCAGAGGACCCUAAACUCUUGUUUACAGUGUCGUCUGAGUACUAUAUAAUAGUUAAAACUUUCAACAACGGAUCUCUUGGUUCUGGCAUCGAUGCAGAACGCAGCGAAAUGCGAUAAGUAAUGUGAAUUGCAGAAUUCAGUGAAUCAUCGAAUCUUUGAACGCACAUUGCGCCCCUCGGUAUUCCGUGGGGCAUGCCUGUUCGAGCGUCAUCUACACCCUCAAGCUCUGCUUGGUGUUGGGCGUCUGUCCCGCCUCCGCGCGUGGACUCGCCCCAAAUUCAUUGGCAGCGGUCCUUGCCUCCUCUCGCGCAGCACAUUGCGCUUCUCGAGGGGCUACGGCUCGCGUCCAACAAGCACAUUUACCGUCUUUGACCUCGGAUCAGGUAGGGAUACCCGCUGAACUUAAGCAUAUCAAUAAGCGGAGGA
rnacentral:rRNA from 1 species